rnacentral:rRNA from 1 species
AGCUCCAAUAGCGUAUAUUAAAGUUGUUGCGGUUAAAAAGCUCGUAGUUGGAUUUCUGUGGUAGGCAGCCGGUCCACACUAUGUGUGAGUAUCUGGUUCGGCUACUGCAUCCUCCUGAGGAACGUUGGUGCGCUUCACUGCGUGGCACGGUAUUCAGGACUUUUACUUUGAGGAAAUUAGAGUGUUCACGGCAGGCGUUUGCCCUGAAUAUAUUAGCAUGGAAUAAUGAUAUAGGAUCCACGUCCUAUUUUGUUGGUUUCUAGGACGAGGAUAAUGAUUAAUAGGGAUAAUUGGGGGCAUUCGUAUUAACACGUCAGAGGUGGAAUUCUUGGAUUGUGUUACGACGAACUACUGCGAAAGCAUUUGCCAAGGAUGUUU